GCGACCCAGGACGGGCGAGGCCCCCGCCGAUUUAAGCUAUCAUA
rnacentral:rRNA from 1 species